UUAUCCAUCUUGAGUUUAUUCAAGUGAGAGUGAAACAGCGCCCCUUUGGGUUCCAACGCUGGUCAAUGUCUCCGAAUAUGUGCGGUGAAAGGUGGUAUUGCACCCUUGAAGUGUCAGCCAGGUGCAUGUGUCAAACUUCUGAUUGCAGACAGGCGUGGACACCGCCAUACUCUCUGAAGCGAAUUAAAGACAGUUUUACUCACAACAAUAAAUAAAAAGUAAGAAUUUAAAUAAAACAACCAAGAGUUAACUUGGUUCCAGUAUCGCUGCCGUGUUUUUAGUUAGUAGUUAAUUAGAAUAACUAGACGCACCAAGUGUAGUGGUACAUUACACAUUCUGGAUAUGGAUUACUUCAUCUCCAUUCGAGAAUAAAGGACUUUAACUUCAAAAAUGGUGCUGUACAGUAUGUGUGCCGUGGCCUCUUUUCUGCUCGAGGACCGCAGCGUGACUGAACCUUCUCAGUGUCCCCGUGUGAUCCAGUGAUCGAUGCAAACCUCUGGAGGUCUGCUCUAGAGUGUGGUAGGAUAUCGUGCGCUAACUCGCCCCUGUUGCCAGCCAAUACAGCCCAACUCCUACUCCCUUUCUCAGGGACAUGGGUCCCCUGAGA